AGGCGCCCAUCUAUCGCCCCGACUGGAACGCCUGGCUCGACUUGGAGGAGGCGACGCCUCCGGCCGGAGAGGCGAGAGGCGACGCCUCUUCACAGCAACGAGCAGAGACACUUUUCUCCUCAACCUCACGAACGCUUUUCUCCUCAACGGCUCAACCUCGACUUCACGACGACAACAGAUUAUAAAUGGGUGAUAAGAAUAAUACAUCUGGAUCUUCUGCUAGUAGUAGAAGAACGGACCCAGGAUGGGCACAUGUAAUUCAAGUUAGUGAAAACAAUACCAAUGAUCUUCAAUGCAUGUACUGUAUGAAAGUUUAUAAAGGAGGAAUUAAUAGAAUCAAGCAACAUCUUGCUGGAGGUUACAAAAAUGUAAUUCGGUGUCCAAAAUGUCCAGAAGAUGUAAGGAAUCAAAUGCAGGAAUUCAUUGCUAAAAAAAGAGAGCAAAAAUCAAUUAUGAAUAUGGAAACA